GUAAUCUUCCAUUAGGCUCACUCCAAUAUAAUCAUGUUUUUGUUUUAGGAUGCCCUAGACAAGUAAACAGGAUUGAGAGAUCAGACAAAGAACAUACAAGGAGGUGCCUAUGUCUACGUGUGAAAUUCUGCAGUCAACAGUGACACAAGGCAUUCUAUGUUUCAUGCCAGGAUACCAACAGCCAAUCUUUAAAAGAAUGGUAGUCAAGUCACACAACCACAUCAGUCAGAUCAGCUCAGAACUGAGCUAUUGUAGUAAGGAUACUCUGCUGUUUUCAACCGUCUCCAAAAUGUCCUUCUAGCAAGAAAGCACUGUCUGGACAAUCUGAGGUUAUACUUCAAUGUACUACUUCAGUUACAGACAAGAUGGCUUGGUUUAAUUUCUUUUGACCUUACAGUGUGAUACCAACAAGAAUAAAAUCAUUUUUACUGUUUCCCUACUUUUAGCA
rnacentral:lncRNA from 1 species